AUGGCUAUGAAGGGCCUGAAACCUGACAACGUUUCAUAUGCUAUUCUCCUUCAUGGGUAUGCCACCGAAGGAUGCUUAGUUGAUAUGAUUAAUCUCUUCAAUUCAAUGGAAAGAAACUGUAUUCUACCUGACUGUUGUAUCUUCAACAUACUGAUUAAUGCAUAUGCUAAAUCUGGGAAGCUUGAUAAGGCUAUGCUUAUCUUCAAUGAAAUGCAGAAACAAGGAGUGAGUCCAGAUGCAGUCACAUAUUUACCCGUAAUAGAUGCAUUUUGCAAAAAGGGUAGGUUGGACGAUGCUAUGAUUAUGUUUAAUCAGAUGAUUGAUACGGGAGUACGACCAGACACAGCUGUUUAUACUUCCCUAAUCCAAGGUUUUUGUACACACGGCGAUUUGGUGAAAGCAAAGGAAUUGGUUACUGAAAUGAUGAACAAAGGUAUACCUCCUCCUGAUAUUAAGUUCUUCCAUUCAAUCAUGCAGAACCUAUGCACAGAAGGAAGGGUAAUAGAAGCACGGGAUAUCCUUGGCUUGAUAGCACACAUAGGUAUGAGGCCUAAUGUUUGCACAUUUAAUAUACUGAUUGGUGGAUACUGCCUAGUCCGCAAGAUGGAGGAUGCCUCAAAAAUAUUUGAUGAUAUGAUGUCAUAUGGUUUAGAACCUUCUAAUAUUACUUAUGGUAUACUUAUUAAUGGCUAUUGCAAAAACUUAAGGAUUGACGAUGGGCUGAUUCUGUUCAAAGAAAUGUUGCGCAAGGGAGUUAAACCUACAACUUUUAAUUAUAACGUCAUACUGGAUGGGUUAUUUCUGGCUGGACGAACUGUUGCUGCAAAGGAAAAGUUUCAUGAGAUGGCUGAAUCUGGAGCAGAUGUGUGCAUUGAUACAUACUGUAUAGUUCACCGCAGCCAGCACAAGAAGAGGCAUGGCCGGAAUGAGGCUCGGCCACCGGGAGGACGCCGGACAGCCGGAUGCACGAGGGCCCAUAGCACCACCACGGCCAGUCCAAGAGGAGGCCUGGCCGGGACGAGGUCCUGCCGUCGGGAGGACGCCGGACAGCCAGGCCACGGGAAUGGGUGGCCAGGCGAGGUGGAGCGCAUGGGAGGGUGGGAGGAGGAGGAUGCGUCGCACCGGGCAGUGCCGGCGACGAUGGCAAGGAGGAGCCGCGGAGGCGAUCCCAGAUCCGCCACCAGGAGGGGUCGCGGGGAGGAGCACCGCCAUGACGACCAC
rnacentral:rRNA from 1 species